rnacentral:lncRNA from 1 species
AUAAUUAAAUAAUUACAUCAUAUGAAGACAACGAUCCAACAACCGAAAGUUGAGUGGGAGACGAUGGCCUAGACCUCUCACGAACUCACCAUAGCAUCCUCCAUGCGCCUCAUCCUGUGGUACCUAUUCUUGACCUGUGGGGGUGUGAGACAGCAAGGGUGAGCUCACAUACGUUCAUCAUUCAACAAGUUGUGGGGAAUAAUGUGCAUGAACUAGCCAAAGGUGGGAGCUCAUGUGAAGUGUAAGGAUUACCAAAGAGGAUGGUUGAAGAUGAGCAUUGCUUUUAAAGUUGGUCAAAAUUUUAUUAGCAAUUACUAAGUAUAAGUAGAUACCAACCCAAAUAAGUAGUAGAUCAAAAUUGAUAACAACACCCACGAUGCAAUGCAUAUGACAAAUUGAAUUUAGUUGCAUAAAUUAAUCAUGCAAGAGUCUUGAGCUGCUCAUGACCGCGAGCUCGGCUAGUAUACCAGUUUUACAAUCUGCAGAGGUGGUACCCUUUACCCACAAGUCAUGUCACCCGGUUUCCAAGGGGUCUAGAAGUCUCAUUCACCUCUACCGAGGAGACGAGGCAGGGUAACACUACGAGGCCUUUACAAAGUUCCACUAGCUUCAGAAAACCCGCUACAGUUUCUAGGAAGAGCAAUGCAGGAAUCCCCCGUCUGACCGCCAUCGCAGCUAAAUCAACCCGGGAACCUCCCUACACGCCUACUCCCCUACUGCCCUUGCCCCUUUCGGGUAAGGUAUUCCUCCACUAGCUUUCUUAAUUAGUCAGCCAAGGGCGUCCCAUUCCACCCUUGUGGUGGCACGUGUUUCUCAAGUUAAGCUCGAUGUUCCAAUUAACAUAAUGGUCUUAUCAUGGACAGAAAUAGAACAAUAAUAAUAAAGAAUGACCAUAUGUAAUAGAUAUCUCAACACCUAAAACCAUAUAUAGCAAUAGCAAAGACUACCCAAAAGUUCAAGGGUAAACAAGAUGUAAAGAUAACCAAACUAGGGUGACCUAUUGGGUCCCAUCAAAAUUAAGCCUACGCAUGCCAAAAUGAUUAUAGAGAACAUUAUAGGGUAAAUAAAAGUGAUCAAGGGCACAACUUGCUUGAGACUCAAGAUUCCAGGUACCAUGAUGCUCUUCAGAUUCUCGUGACCUCACUGCUAUACGUAGCAAUACAAACAAACAUGGUAUAGGCAAAAUUAACAUCACACCAAACAUAAGCACAAAAUGCAUAAUAAUAAUCUACGCGUCGCUACGAGAUUGUGGGUUCGAGAACGGUUAAACCGGAGUUAUGAUUAAAAGGAUAUAAUAUUCUCGAGAUCUAGGUAGUUAAACAGUAAAUACUUUAUUCUUUAUUGUUUAAUAUAAGUUCGAAAUGACAAAUAAAUCAAUAAUUUAUCUUUAAUCUAUUUUAUAAUUCGACUAGAGGUUAUAUUUUAGUCCCACUAUUAUUAUGGAUAUAUUAACUUUGUUUAUUAGAUUUAAUCCCUUGAGCAUAGGUUGAAUGAAUAUUUAUUUUUGAACCCCUGUUAUUUGAUAAAGUAAGGUUACCGAAACGUAGGCAAUAUUAUUGCAAAGCUAACGCAAUUUGAAUGGACCAAAUCGGGGUUAAAAUGAAGGAGAUAUGGAUUUAUUAAAUUCUAGGUUUUAAUUCUAUCAUUAUUAAGGAUUUCAGGACCUGGGCGCAAUUAUGAAGAUGAUCAGGGGCUUUUAUGAAAAAUGCAAGGACUGAUCUGAAGGAUUCCUAACACUAGCGUGGAUGGCAGGUUAGUUACCAGAAAGUACAAUGUCCCUUUUGUGAAACUACCCGGCUGAUGAGGUACCGUCUAUUCCUGGUCGUGCGAUCGGAUAUGAACGACAUAGAUUAAAUCGAGCACCUACUCGAACCGGUACCCAAAGGCGAUCGUCAGAUUGGUGAUCAACGGUGGGGAUUUUUAAAUACUGACGCAUGACAUAUGACCGACCGAUCCAAAAUCAAUGGUGCAUAAGUCAUCGGACGACUGGGUACCCAACCUCUAAUCUCGACCGCCCGAUUGCGUUUGGACGCAUCGGAUCGCCCAGCACGAACCAUUAUUCGUAAUCUAAUCCAAACCGUUGCUUGUUAGAUCGUCGGUCCAUGGUGAUCUCCCCCCUAGAAUACGCCGGCGACGAUGGUGCUCUACUCACCGCGGCAGCGCCAUUGCCGCUCCACACCAGAACUCACCCCCGAGCGCGAUGCUAGCCCCUGUAAGGUGCAAAACCAAAUUGAAGGCAAUACGAAACUGAGAGGGGUGCUCUUACCGCGAAUUAUACGACCAGGCACCUAGGACACGGCGCAAGGCAGAAGCGCGAUGGUAGGGGACGUUCGACGAGGAGUCC